rnacentral:lncRNA from 1 species
AAAACACUUGUAUGGAAGCAGGUAGUAGGCUGGAUAAGAGUCAUGCUCAUAGUUUGUCAGCUUCUGGUUUAAAUCGACAGGACCUACAAGUGUGAAUUAAUAGAACUGUGGAUGAAGGCAUUCCUUGAAAGUGGUGGCCUCUGGAAAACUGUAAAGAUUUUCAUUAUUCUCAAAUAUCUACUUGGAAUAGCAAGAAUAUAAUUUUAUUUCAUGAUUAAUGCUGCUUUAAUUUAAAAGAGCUUCCUCAAUUCAACUCCAGUUAUUCUAGAAGCGGCGAGAAGAAGACCAGGUGAAUAAUCCCUCAGGUUUUUUGUUGUUGUUGUUGUUGUUGUUGUUGUUGUUGUUGUUUUUUUUGUAAUAUAACCAAAGGGUCUUAUUUUACAUAUUU